ACCUUUCUCGGCCUUUUGGCUAAGAUCAAGUGUAGUAUCUGUUCUUAUCAGUUUAAUAUCUGAUACUGGGCCCUUGGCUCACAUGAUAUUAAAUUUAUUUUUUAGGGGAUAGUCCAUCACUACAGGGGCUCUUGAGCGUCGCCCAGGCGUUGCACCUCCACCCAUUUUCAAUUAUUCCUGCAAGGCUUCACGCAUUUCAGAUCAAGCUUACUGAUCAACAAAAGCCACGUUCGGAAUUAGAUCGAGGCAAAGAAAAAGUAGUGGAUUAAUCGGUCGACUUACUCCAUAUUAACUCGAGUGUUUCGAAAGCUCGCUUGGAUUAAAAGUUUUCAGAGAUCGCAUCACACUAUCAAAUGUUAUUUUGGUACUUUUGACUUUGUAUUUUGGGUUAAAUAGCAUGUAUAGGCCUUUUUGGCUAAUGAUAGCCUAUGUGUUUUGUUAAGUAUUUAGCCAAUCAAUUUGGCUUGAAUUUGAUACAUUUUGACAUGUAAAUAUGUAAAUAGCCGUGGUAUACGAUGUACAAUUGUCAUAUGAAUGCCUUGACUACGAAAUGGUCUUUUGGGUACCACAUGGUUAUGAUUCUUAAAUGACAUACAUGUUAAGUUUUAGGUACAAA